UCAUUUCUGACUCCUGGUUACCCCGUUUGGGGUUUUCUUGGCAAGAUACUGGAAUUUUUUGCCAUUUUCUUCUCCAGCUCAUUUUAUAUAUGAGGGAACAGGCAAACAGGGUUAAGUGACUUGGGAGGGUCACACAGCUAGUAAAUGUCUAAUUUACUGAUUUAACUUAACUUAAGAACUGAAUUUAAGAUUAGUCUUCCUAACUCCUAACCCAACACUCUUAUCUACAGUGUCACUUACAACAAAUGUUGAAGAUGAAAGACAGCCAGUAAGAACUACUUUUACUCACCUUUAUUAUCAAGAAGAAGGGUUGUGAGAGACAAAUGAGAAAAUGUCUGUAAAGUAUGUGUGACUGUAACUCAACAUUUGGAGCUCUAUCAACAGGCCUGGACAUCAAAUAUGGAGCUCUCCACUUCUUCUUUCCCAGCAUUUCUUCCAGGAGAGUUUCAGACAUUGACUUGGAAGUAGAUUACCCAGAGUGCCAAUGACCCUGAACUUGGUUUUGCACAGCCCCUCUGGAAUCAACCAAUCAAUAAAUAUUUAUUAAGUGG